rnacentral:rRNA from 1 species
UACAGAGGGUGCGAGCGUUAAUCGGAAUUACUGGGCGUAAAGCGCACGUAGGCGGCUUGGUAUGUCGGGUGUGAAAUCCCCGGGCUCAACCUGGGAACUGCAUCCGAAACUGCCUUGCUAGAGUAUGGGAGAGGGAAGUGGAAUUUACGGUGUAGCAGUGAAAUGCGUAGAGAUCGUAAGGAAGGCCAGUGGCGAAGGCGAGCCUCUGGACAGUUACUGACGCUGAUGCACGAAGGCCAGGGGAGCAAACGGG